UGAAUACGAGACGCUAAGGCGUCGAAGUAGUGUAUGUCAUACUUCCAAGAAAAGCUUGCACUGUCAUAGAUAAAAAACGCCUGUACCAUAACCGACACAGGUGGGUAGGUAGAGUAUACUAAGGGGCGCGAGAUAACUCUCUCUAAGGAACUCGGCAAAAUAACUCCGUAACUUCGGGAGAAGGAGUGCCUUAUUCUUAAGGUUGCAAUAACAAGAUCCAAGCAACUGUUUAUCAAAAACACAGGUCUCCGCUAAGUCGUAAGACAAUGUAUGGGGGCUGACGCCUGCCCAGUGCCAGAAGGUUAAAGAAGCUGGUUAGCAUUUGCGAAGCUAGUAACUGAAGCCCUGGUGAACGGCGGCCGUAACAAUAACGGUCCUAAGGUAGCGAAAUUCCUUGUCGGGUAAGUUCCGACCCGCACGAAAGGCGUAAUGAUUUGGAUACUGUCUCGGAGAGGGGCUCGGUGAAAUAGACUUGUCUGUGAAGAUGCGGACUACCUGCACCAGGACAGAAAGACCCUAUGAAGCUUUACUGUAACUUGAAAUUGAAAUUGGACUUUAUUCGCGCAGUAUAGGUGGGAGGCGUUGAUUAUAAUCUUGCGGGAUUAUUGGAGCCAUUAGUGAGAUACCACUCUUGUAAUGUUAGAUUUCUAACUUUGAAUCAUUAUCUGGUCAAAGAACAGUUUCAGGCGGGCAGUUUGACUGGGGCGGUCGCCUCCUAAACGGUAACGGAGGCGUACAAAGGUUUCCUCUGAACGGUUAGAAAUCGUAUCUAGAGUGUAAAGGCAUAAGGAAGCUUGACUGUGAGACCUACAAGUCGAGCAGGGACGAAAGUCGGUCUUAGUGAUCUGACGGUACUGAGUGGAAAGGCCGUCACUCAACGGAUAAAAGUUACUCUAAGGAUAACAGGCUGAUCUCCCCCAAGAGUUCACAUCGACGGGGAGGUUUGGCACCUCGAUGUCGGCUCAUCGCAUCCUGGGGCGGUAGUACGUCCCAAGGGUUGGGCUGUUCGCCCAUGAAAGCGGUACGCGAGCUGGGUUCAGAACGUCGUGAGACAGUUCGGUCCAUAUCCGGUGUAGGCGUUAGAAUAUUGAGAGGAGCCUUCUUUAGUACGAGGGGACCGAGAAGGACAUACCUCUGGUGUACCAGUUAUCGUGCCAACGGUAAACGCUGGGUAGCUAUGUAUGGAGUGGAUAACCGCUGAAAGCAUCUAAGUGGGAAGCCCACCUCAAGAU
rnacentral:rRNA from 1 species